UACGUAGGUGGCGAGCGUUGUCCGGAUUUACUGGGCGUAAAGAGCGCGCAGGCGGUCGAUCAAGUCGGAUGUGAAAGCCCCCGGCUCAACUGGGGAGGGUCAUUCGAUACUGGUCGACUCGAAGGCAGGAGAGGGAAGCGGAAUUCCCGGUGUAGUGGUGAAAUGCGUAGAUAUCAGGAGGAACACCAGUGGCGAAGGCGGCUUUCUGGACGGUAACUGACGCUGAGACGCGAAAGCGUGGGGAGCAAACAGG
rnacentral:rRNA from 1 species